rnacentral:rRNA from 1 species
GACGAAGGAUGCAAGCGUUAUCCGGAUUCAUUGGGUUUAAAGGGAGCGUAGGCGGUCUUGUAAGUCAGUGGUGAAAUCUCGCAGCUUAACUGCGAAACUGCCAUUGAUACUGCAGGACUUGAGUACAGAUGCUGUGGGCGGAAUAUGACAUGUAGUGGUGAAAUACAUAGAGAUGUCAUAGAACACCGAUUGCGAAGGCAGCUCACAAAACUGUAACUGACGCUGAGGCUCGAAAGUGUGGGGAGCAAACAGG